CGUUCAUAGCCAAAAUAAUUAUGUACAAGUAAGGAACGAAGUAACUAAACAUUUCAUAAUCGCACUCAUUACAUACUGGGGGAAAAAGAGGGUAAGACUUUUUAAUUUAAAUUGGCAGCGGCUUGCGUACCAGGAGAUAUAGACUGCCCCUGAUCCUGGGUUUCGAUGCGAACGCGCAUCACACUGAAUGGGGUUGUACCGACUGCAAUACACGUGGCUGUCGGAUCACAGGAUCUUGAGAUUCGGGCUAAAGAUCAAGAUCACGCAAAUCCCCCUUAAACGUGUUAAUGGGGAGGGGAAGUUAGGUAGAGGUGUAACGGCUCUGGGACUGGAGAACAGACUGUCUGCUCCCAACGAUGUCAUCUGAAGCUCAUUUAAUUUAUCUGCAGCUGCCCCCUAAAGACGAUCACCAAAGGACGCAACUGCUCUUGGUGGUCAAGUAGAUCCUCAGUACUCAGAUCAAAAGUAAAUAAACUCUUCAACAAGUGCAAACGUACUAGAAAGAGGGAGGAGUACAGAAGUAACCUAACUGUCUACAAUAAGGAGAUUAGAUUUGCAAAGCAAAAAAAUUUCAGAAGUUUCUGUGAAAAUGUCUCCUUUAUACCAGAGGCAGCAAGACAGCACAGGGCUCUAGCUAAGGGAAAGACUGACUCAAAAACUAUAAUUAAGGGAGUGACGGAACUUAUACGACCAGUGCGGAGAGAGCUGCGGCACUUCUGCGUGCACAUUUCCCGGAGACAAUUAAAGAAGACUAAUGUCUACUUGUACCCCUGCGCAGGGUUUGGAAGCCGCCACGUAAAAAACGCACCCUAUGAAAAAUAACAAUCAGCCUCGGAUUAGAUUUGAGAGCAUGCACCUAGAAUGUCUUCCGCGAGCGCUUGGAGCGCACCUAUGAGAGCUGCUCCCGUAACGAUGUCAAAAUCGUGCUUGGCGACUUUAACUUCAGUGUGAGCAAGGAAGGUAUCUUUGGCACAACAGUCGGUAAUUUCAGCAUCCACGGCGAAACAUUCCCAAAUGGAUUGAGCCUGACCGACCUCAAGCCACCUGGCUGUCUCCGGAUCAAAAAGCCUUCAACCAGUUCGAUCAUGUUGUGAUAGACAGAAGACACGUCUGUGCAUCACGUGAGUACGCUCCGAGGUCCUAACAUCGACUCUGACCACUAUUUUGUUGCAGCCGGGAUUCGCACCCGCCUCUGUGCAGCAAAAAACGCGCGUCUACGAACACAAGCAGCGUUCGACGACGAGAAGCUGCAAUCACAACAGAUAGCCGAACGAUUUUCUACUCGACUGGCACUCCUGCUAUCUGAUCCGAUUUAGCUGUAACGUGUAUAGAUCGUGGAAAGAUAUACAAUACAAUCCAACUACGAGUUGAAAUGAUCUAGUCUAGUGGAAUACAUAGAAUUCACAAGCAUAGUAGCCGCAUGACCACCAUUAAGUAAGAAAAAUGUUUUGAAGAAACAAUUCAAUAAGAACUCUUUCCUGAAGCGAAUAUAAAUUGGUCACACAUUUCUGCUGGCCAAGUAAAUAAUUCCAUUAUGCGUUAUGAAAUUAGAUACACCAAAAGUUAUAGCGUAUACAUAUGUAUAUACACAUAAGUGCCUGCGCGCACAUAAUAUUAGAAUGCAAGCUGCACAGAUUGAAAUAAAGAUUAGUUCAGUUGAAGUAUAGACCUUAGCAAGGAA
rnacentral:lncRNA from 1 species